GGGUCCUAUGCAGUCAUCGCUGGCUCCUCCAAGGUCAAGUUUGACCUCAAGGUCUUAGAAGCAGGGAAGGCAGAGCCUUUGCCAGGCCCUGCCCCCGCCCCUGCUGAGGCUCCUGGAGCCCCCGGAGAAGCCCUGGCCUCGGCCACUGAAGUGGAAGGAGGCUCCCCGAGGCCUGAAGGGUCAAGCUCAGCAGCCCCCGAUGGACCCAGUGUCCCUGACGAUCCCAUCGGCCUCUUUGUGAUGAGGCCACAGGAUGGCGAGGUGACCGC